CGAUGAUACGCGAGGUAACCUUACCUGGGCUUAAAUGUAGAGUGCAUUUUUUAGAGAUAGAAACUUCCCUUCGGGCUUUCUGCAAGGUGCUGCAUGGUUGUCGUCAGCUCGUGCCGUGAGGUGUCGGGUUAAGUCCCAUAACGAGCGCAACCCUUAUCGUUAGUUGCCAUCUGGUAAUGCAGGGGACUCUAGCGAAACUGCCACCGUAAGGUGAGAGGAAGUGGGAUGACGUCAAAUCAGCACGGCCCUUAUGUCCAGGGCUACACACGUGUUACAAUGGUCGGUACAGAGGGCAGCUACCUGGUGACAGGAUGCUAAUCUCGAAAACCGGUCUCAGUUCGGAUCGAAGUCUGCAACUCGACUUCGUGAAGCUGGAUUCGCUAGUAAUCGCGCAUCAGCUAUGGCGCGGUGAAUACGUUCCCGGGCCUU
rnacentral:rRNA from 1 species